rnacentral:rRNA from 1 species
UGGGGAAUAUUGCACAAUGGGGGAAACCCUGAUGCAGCGACGCCGCGUGAACGAAGAAGGUAUUCGUAUCGUAAAGUUCUGUCCUAUGGUAAGAUAAUGACAGUACCAUAGAAGAAAGCUCCGGCUAAAUACGUGCCAGCAGCCGCGGUAAUACGUAUGGAGCGAGCGUUGUCCGGAAUUAUUGGGCGUAAAGGGUACGCAGGCGGUUUAAUAAGUCGAAUGUUAAAGUUCGGGGCUCAACCCCGCAAAGCAUUGGAAACUGAUAAACUUGAGUAGUGGAGAGGAAAGUGGAAUUCCUAGUGUAGUGGUGAAAUACGUAGAUAUUAGGAGGAAUACCAGUAGCGAAGGCGACUUUCUGGACACAAACUGACGCUGAGGUACGAAAGCGUGGAGAUCAAACAGG